rnacentral:rRNA from 1 species
UUAAGCGACUAAGCGUACACGGUGGAUGCCCUGGCAGUCAGAGGCGAUGAAGGACGUGCUAAUCUGCGAAAAGCGUCGGUAAGGUGAUAUGAACCGUUAUAACCGGCGAUGUCCGAAUGGGGAAACCCAGUGCAAUUCGUUGCACUAUCGUUAACUGAAUACAUAGGUUAACGAGGCGAACCGGGGGAACUGAAACAUCUAAGUACCCCGAGGAAAAGAAAUCAACCGAGAUUCCCCCAGUAGCGGCGAGCGAACGGGGAGCAGCCCAGAGUCUGAAUCAGCUUGUGUGUUAGUGGAACGGUCUGGAAAGUCCGACGGUACAGGGUGAUAGUCCCGUACACCAAAAUGCACAGGCUGUGAACUCGAAGAGUAGGGCGGGACACGUGGUAUCCUGUCUGAAUAUGGGGGGACCAUCCUCCAAGGCUAAAUACUCCUGACUGACCGAUAGUGAACCAGUACCGUGAGGGAAAGGCGAAAAGAACCCCGGCGAGGGGAGUGAAAAAGAACCUGAAACCGUGUACGUACAAGCAGUGGGAGCACCUUCGGGUGUGACUGCGUACCUUUUGUAUAAUGGGUCAGCGACUUAUAUUCUGUAGCAAGGUUAACCGUAUAGGGGAGCCGCAGGGAAACCGAGUCUUAACUGGGCGUUAAGUUGCAGGGUAUAGACCCGAAACCCGGUGAUCUAGCCAUGGGCAGGUUGAAGGUUGGGUAACACUAACUGGAGGACCGAACCGACUAAUGUUGAAAAAUUAGCGGAUGACUUGUGGCUGGGGGUGAAAGGCCAAUCAAACCGGGAGAUAGCUGGUUCUCCCCGAAAGCUAUUUAGGUAGCGCCUCGUGAACUCAUCUUCGGGGGUAGAGCACUGUUUCGGCUAGGGGGUCAUCCCGACUUACCAACCCGAUGCAAACUACGAAUACCGAAGAAUGUUAUCACGGGAGACACACGGCGGGUGCUAACGUCCGUCGUGAAGAGGGAAACAACCCAGACCGCCAGCUAAGGUCCCAAAGUCAUGGUUAAGUGGGAAACGAUGUGGGAAGGCACAGACAGCCAGGAUGUUGGCUUAGAAGCAGCCAUCAUUUAAAGAAAGCGUAAUAGCUCACUGGUCGAGUCGGCCUGCGCGGAAGAUGUAACGGGGCUAAACCAUGCACCGAAGCUGCGGCAGCGACACUAUGUGUUGUUGGGUAGGGGAGCGUUCUGUAAGCCUGCGAAGGUGUGCUGUGAGGCAUGCUGGAGGUAUCAGAAGUGCGAAUGCUGACAUAAGUAACGAUAAAGCGGGUGAAAAGCCCGCUCGCCGGAAGACCAAGGGUUCCUGUCCAACGUUAAUCGGGGCAGGGUGAGUCGACCCCUAAGGCGAGGCCGAAAGGCGUAGUCGAUGGGAAACAGGUUAAUAUUCCUGUACUUGGUGUUACUGCGAAGGGGGGACGGAGAAGGCUAUGUUAGCCGGGCGACGGUUGUCCCGGUUUAAGCAUGUAGGCUGGUUGUCCAGGCAAAUCCGGAUAAUCAAGGCUGAGGUGUGAUGACGAGGCACUACGGUGCUGAAGUAACAAAUGCCCUGCUUCCAGGAAAAGCCUCUAAGCAUCAGGUAACAUCAAAUCGUACCCCAAACCGACACAGGUGGUCAGGUAGAGAAUACCAAGGCGCUUGAGAGAACUCGGGUGAAGGAACUAGGCAAAAUGGUGCCGUAACUUCGGGAGAAGGCACGCUGGUGUGUAGGUGAAGCCCCUGCGGGUGGAGCUGAGACCAGUCGAAGAUACCAGCUGGCUGCAACUGUUUAUUAAAAACACAGCACUGUGCAAACACGAAAGUGGACGUAUACGGUGUGACGCCUGCCCGGUGCCGGAAGGUUAAUUGAUGGGGUUAUCCGUAAGGAGAAGCUCUUGAUCGAAGCCCCGGUAAACGGCGGCCGUAACUAUAACGGUCCUAAGGUAGCGAAAUUCCUUGUCGGGUAAGUUCCGACCUGCACGAAUGGCGUAAUGAUGGCCAGGCUGUCUCCACCCGAGACUCAGUGAAAUUGAACUCGCUGUGAAGAUGCAGUGUACCCGCGGCAAGACGGAAAGACCCCGUGAACCUUUACUAUAGCUUGACACUGAACAUUGAGCCUUGAUGUGUAGGAUAGGUGGGAGGCUUUGAAGCGUGGACGCCAGUCUGCGUGGAGCCAACCUUGAAAUACCACCCUUUAAUGUUUGAUGUUCUAACGUUGGCCCCUUACCGGGGUUGCGGACAGUGUCUGGUGGGUAGUUUGACUGGGCGGUCUCCUCCCAAAGCGUAACGGAGGAGCACGAAGGUUAGCUAAUCCUGGUCGGACAUCAGGAGGUUAGUGCAAUGGCAUAAGCUAGCUUGACUGCGAGCGUGACGGCGCGAGCAGGUGCGAAAGCAGGUCAUAGUGAUCCGGUGGUUCUGAAUGGAAGGGCCAUCGCUCAACGGAUAAAAGGUACUCCGGGGAUAACAGGCUGAUACCGCCCAAGAGUUCAUAUCGACGGCGGUGUUUGGCACCUCGAUGUCGGCUCAUCACAUCCUGGGGCUGAAGUAGGUCCCAAGGGUAUGGCUGUUCGCCAUUUAAAGUGGUACGCGAGCUGGGUUUAGAACGUCGUGAGACAGUUCGGUCCCUAUCUGCCGUGGGCGCUGGAGAAUUGAGGGGGGCUGCUCCUAGUACGAGAGGACCGGAGUGGACGCAUCACUGGUGUUCGGGUUGUCAUGCCAAUGGCACUGCCCGGUAGCUAAAUGCGGAAGAGAUAAGUGCUGAAAGCAUCUAAGCACGAAACUUGCCCCGAGAUGAGUUCUCCCUGAGACUUUAAGUCUCCUGAAGGAACGUUGAAGACGACGACGUUGAUAGGCCGGGUGUGUAAGCGCAGCGAUGCGUUGAGCUAACCGGUACUAAUGAACCGUGAGGCUUAACCUU